rnacentral:rRNA from 1 species
AGAACGAACGUUAGCGGCGCGCUUAACACAUGCAAGUCGCACGAGAAAGGGCUUCGGCCCCGGUAAAGUGGCGCACGGGUGAGUAACACGUGGAUAAUCUUCCCUCGGGCGGGGGAUAACAUUCCGAAAGGAGUGCUAAUACCGCAUAAGACCACGGCCUCGAAAGAGGCUGCGGUCAAAGCCGGCCUCUAUAUAUAAGCUGGCACCUGAGGAUGAGUCCGCGGCCCAUCAGCUAGUUGGUAGGGUAAUGGCCUACCAAGGCAAAGACGGGUAGCUGGUCUGAGAGGAUGAUCAGCCACACUGGAACUGAGACGCGGUCCAGACUCCUACGGGAGGCAGCAGUGGGGAAUCUUGCGCAAUGGACGAAAGUCUGACGCAGCGACGCCGCGUGGGUGAUGAAGGCCUUCGGGUUGUAAACUGCUUUUCUGGGGGACGAGCAAGGACGGUACCCCAGGAAUCAGCCCCGGCUAACUACGUGCCAGCAGCCGCGGU